AUACGGCCAUAUCACGUUGAAACACCAGUUCUCGUACGAUCUCCGAAGUUAGGCAAUGUCGACCUGGUCAGUAUCUAGAUGGAUAGCCGCUUGAGAGUACCGGGUGUUGUAA